rnacentral:tRNA from 1 species
CUUUAGUAGCUAUAAAAGUGAUGAGCUUUUAACUCGUCGAAGCGGAUUAAAGUCUGUCUAAGGC